AUGCCCUAUAGUAUCUUUUUAAGGCACCUUAUUAAGAUUAAAGGUUACGGUAUGAGAUGAGUAUGCGUUCUAUUAGCUAGUAGGUGGGUACCCCCACACCUAGGCUACGAUAGAUAGGGGCCCUGAGAGGGGGAUCCCCCACACUGGUACUGAGACAC
rnacentral:rRNA from 1 species